rnacentral:sRNA from 1 species
GCUAGGCAUGGUGGUGCAUGCCUGUAAUCCCAGUGACUCAGGAGGCUGAGGCAGGAGGAUUGCAAGUUCUAAGUUAGUGUCUCAC